UGCGACUAGUCUGGUCUGAUAUAGGAGAUCGCCAAUGACAAGAUGGCCACGGAGCAUUAGAGGAAUCUGUCAACUCUUUCAGCUACAGUGAAAUAACAUUUAGUGCUUUCUAUAAUAAUGGGUUUAUCACAAAGCACCGGUGCGUCGGAAGGAGGAACAGAUGGAUACCACGUCCACGGGGUGCAGGAGAAUUCCCCUGCAGAGAAAGCUGGGCUGGAGCCGUUCUUUGACUUCAUCCUCUCUCUGGGAGACCACAGACUGAACCAGGAGAAUGACAUGCUGAAGGACCUUCUGAAGGCUAACGUGGAGAAGGCAGUGAUCAUGGAGGUGUACAGCACUAAGACCAUGAGGCUGAGGGAGGUGGAGGUGGUGCCCAGUAACAUGUGGGGAGGACAGGGCCUGCUGGGGGCGUCUGUCAGGUUCUGUAGCUACCAAGGAGCCAACGAGAACGUCUGGCAUGUACUGGAUGUGGAUGUGAACUCACCAGCUGCGUUGGCCGGUCUUCAGGCCCACAGUGACUUCAUCGUUGGAGCAGACCAGGUGUUGCAGGAUUCGGAGGACUUCUUCUCGCUGAUCGAGGCCCACGAGGGGAAACCUCUGAAACUGCUGAUCUACAACACAGAGACAAACGCCUGCAGAGAGGUGGUGGUCACACCCAACGGGGCCUGGGGAGGAGAGGGGAGUUUGGGUUGCGGUAUCGGAUACGGCUACUUGCACAGGAUCCCAUCCAUGUUUCCCUCUCUCCCCGAAGAGGGCUCCACGCCAGAGAUACACGCCAAUGGACACCAAGAGGCGUCUCUGAUGGUGGGUCAGUCCGGCCUGGGACAGGGAACAGAGAUGACAGACCAAGAUAACAGACUGGAACAGAUCACUCUGCAGAAAGAGGACAGUCCUCCACCUCUACCCAUACAGGGAAUCAUGGAUCCAGGUGGGUUGACUGACUGGUUGGUUACAGGGAAUCAUGGAUCCAGGUGGGUUGACUGACUGGUUGGUUACAGGGAAUCAUGGAUCCAGGUGGGUUGACUGACUGGUUGGUUACAGGGAAUCAUGGAUCCAGGUGGGUUGACUGACUGGUUGGUUACAGGGAAUCACGGAUCCAGGUGGGUUAACUGAUUGGUUGGUUACAGGGAAUCACGGAUCCAGGUGGGUUAACUGACUGGUUGGUUACAGGGAAUCAUGGAUCCAGGUGGGUUGACUGACUGGUUGGUUACAGGGAAUCAUGGAUCCAGGUGAGUUGACUGAUUGGUUGGUUACAGGGAAUCAUGGAUCCAGGUGAGUUGACUGACUGGUUGGUUACAGGGAGUCACGGAUCCAGGUGAGUUAACUGACUGGUUGGUUACAGGGAAUCACUGAUCCAGGUGGGUUAACUGACUGGUUGGUUACAGGGAAUCAUGGAUCCAGGUGGGUUGACUGACUGGAUGGUUACAGGGAAUCAUGGAUCCAGGUGGGUUGACUGACUGGUUGGUUACAGGGAAUCAUGGAUCCAGGUGGGUUGACUGACUGGUUGGUUACAGGGAAUCACGGAUCCAGGUGGGUUGACUGACUG